rnacentral:sRNA from 1 species
GAUACCAGGGUCACAAGGUCUGACACCACGUGUACUCGCACACUAGUGGUAAAAUGACCUUGUGACCCGCCCCAAUAUGAGCAUAAAAGCGGGGCGUAAGCACUACGAUAUGCGAAUGUUGGGUAGGAUUGUGGGAGCACAUAGUGCGUAACAAUCCGUAGGUAUC